UGAUGGCUGUUCCUCUGACUGCUUGGAGCCUCAGGUAGUGGGAUUUUAGUCCAUCAUCCAUCUAAACUGACUUGUCCUCACGCCGAGCACUAUGAGACGGGUUGGCUGUCCACUAGCGCCUUCUGAUUUGCAUGAAGUCAAACAAUU